rnacentral:rRNA from 1 species
AGUGAACGCUGGCGGUAGGCCUAACACAUGCAAGUCGAACGGCAGCACAGUAAGAGCUUGCUCUUACGGGUGGCGAGUGGCGGACGGGUGAGGAAUACAUCGGAAUCUACUUUUUCGUGGGGGAUAACGUAGGGAAACUUACGCUAAUACCGCAUACGACCUACGGGUGAAAGCAGGGGAUCUUCGGACCUUGCGCGAUUGAAUGAGCCGAUGUCGGAGUAGCUAGUUGGCGGGGGAAAGGCCCACCAAGGCGACGAUCCGUAGCUGGUCUGAGAGGAUGAUCAGCCACACUGGAACUGAGACACGGUCCAGACUCCUACGGGAGGCAGCAGUGGGGAAUAUUGGACAAUGGGCGCAAGCCUGAUCCAGCCAUACCGCGUGGGUGAAGAAGGCCUUCGGGUUGUAAAGCCCUUUUGUUGGGAAAGAAAAGCAGCAGGUUAAUACCCCGCUGUUCUGACGGUACCCAAAGAAUAAGCACCGGCUAACUUCGCG